UAGUCUACGCCGUAAACGAUGGAUACUAGUUGUUUGAUCUUCGGAUUGAGUGACUAAGCGAAAGUGAUAAGUAUCCCACCUGGGGAGUACGUUCGCAAGAAUGAAACUCAAAGGAAUUGACGGGGGCCCGCACAAGCGGUGGAGCAUGUGGUUUAAUUCGAUGAUACGCGAGGAACCUUACCAGGGCUUAAAUGUAGUCUGACAGCUUUAGAGAUAGAGUUUUCUUCGGACAGAUUACAAGGUGCUGCAUGGUUGUCGUCAGCUCGUGCCGUGAGGUGUCAGGUUAAGUCCUAUAACGAGCGCAACCCCUACCGUUAGUUGCCAGCAUGUAAAGAUGGGGACUCUAGCGGGACUGCCAGUGCAAACUGUGAGGAAGGUGGGGAUGACGUCAAAUCAUCACGGCCCUUACGUCCUGGGCUACACACGUGCUACAAUGGUAUAGACAGAGAGCAGCCACCACGCGAGUGGGAGCGAAUCUACAAACUAUAUCUCAGUUCGG
rnacentral:rRNA from 1 species